rnacentral:sRNA from 1 species
AAUUAAACCUGAUUGCAGUGGCAUCCCCAGAUUUUUCAUCUGGGAUAUAACGGAAAGCAGGAGCAAAA